GAUGAACGCUGGCGGCGUGCCUAAUACAUGCAAGUCGAGCGAAUGGAUUGAGAGCUUGCUCUUAUGAAGUUAGCGGCGGACGGGUGAGUAACACGUGGGUAACCUGCCCAUAAGACUGGGAUAACUCCGGGAAACCGGGGCUAAUACCGGAUAACAUUUUGAACCGCAUGGUUCGAAAUUGAAAGGCGGCUUCGGCUGUCACUUAUGGAUGGACCCGCGUCGCAUUAGCUAGUUGGUGAGGUAACGGCUCACCAAGGCAACGAUGUGUAGCCGACCUGAGAGGGUGAUCGGCCACACUGGGACUGAGACACGGCCCAGACUCCUACGGGAGGCAGCAGUAGGGAAUCCUCCGCAAUGGACGAAAGUCUGACGGAGCAACGCCGCGUGAGUGAUGAAGGCUUUCGGGUCGUAAAACUCUGUUGUUAGGGAAGAACAAGUGCUAGUUGAAUAAGCUGGCACCUUGACGGUACCUAACCAGAAAGCCACGGCUAACUACGUGCCAGCAGCCGCCGUAA
rnacentral:rRNA from 1 species